GAUCUUGGCUCAGGACGAACGCUGGCGGCGUGCUUAACACAUGCAAGUCGAACGAAGAGCGAUGGAAGCUUGCUUCUAUCAAUCUUAGUGGCGAACGGGUGAGUAACGCGUAAUCAACCUGCCCCUUCAGAGGGGGACGAACAGUUGGAAACGAACUGCUAAUACCGCAUACGAUCCAAUCUCGGCAUCGGGACUGGAUGAAAGGUAGGCCUCUAUUUAUAAGCUAUCACUGAAGGAGGGGAG
rnacentral:rRNA from 1 species